GUUGCAUUGCUAGGAAAAUAAUUCUGCCUGGGGAUGUUUAGAAGCCAGGAUGUCAAGGAUGGUGCUGAGGAUUGAGUGGUGUUAGCAGUAAGUUUACAUCCAUUAUCUCCUUGUCUGUGAGCUGUAAGGGAGCUGAGAUCUGGGCUGUAGUACCUCCUCACCUCACAGGGAGGAUGGAAGCAAAAGAGACUAGAAGGAUAUAAACCAGCUUUUUGGCUCUGACCUUUCCCUCUGAAGGCAUGUGUCUCCUGUACAAAACACUGCGAGCCCAGCCUAAGUGCUGAGGUUGUUGGCCUUGCUGCUCCAUCAGGCUUUGGGGAGCUGCUUGUUGUUCCUGUUUACUGGUGUUCUGUGGAGUCUGGGAGUGCAGGAACUGGAUUCCUUUCAGGUGAUAUUAAGCACAGUGAAGUAUUCAGUCAUGCUUGCAGUUUCCAGAGGAGCACACAGCUAAGGAAGAGGAAGAGCUGUGAGGAUGACAAGCUGUGGGAAGUCCAAGUGUACAGGAAAAGAGUAUGGGCCUGGAAUGUCCUUAUGCUCUCUUCAUUGAGAAGGCCAACUGGGAGGGCUUGCAGAGGAGGAUCCUGACUGUGGUGCGAAGAGUUACAUUGCAGCACUUACAGCACAACCAGCUUGUCAGAAGUAACUGGGCAGGAUUCUAGAAACAAAACUCCCAGUAGGAGCAUGAAUCGUGUAGCAGUGGCUAGUUGCCUUCAGAGGGUGGCUCUACUCCAUGGACAUCCCAGUGGUCAUGGGAGACCUCACAUACUUGCAAAAUGGUCAGCAAUUUUUGAGCUGAGCAAAUCAGAUUGGCAAAUGGUGGCAGCAAGCUGGCACCUUUUGAUAUUGAGAUUCUCACUCUUAAGCCAUUUAAUUAAGGUAUUUUCUUGCUCUGCCAUAACUUCUAGUUGCCUGCUGUGAGAAACUGAUACCAGCCAGCUCAAUUAAGCUGAUGAAAAACUCAGAGUUCUAGGUACGCUUCCACAUGGAGAUUCAUGAAGCUCAUACCAUCUGGAAAUACUGUAACCUUGGCCUUCUUG